UCACACACAUCCCAAGGCAAUGUACAAAAUGCAGUAAAAACAGCCAAAAAAACAGCUAAACACAACACAAAAAACAGAAGCAAAAAUAAAAUAAAAAACAAUACAAAGUACACCCAACAAGAUGAAUAGGUCUCUGCCUUGGGUGUAUUUUGUAUUGUUUUUAAAUAUUUUUGGCUUCUGUUUUUUGUGUUGCGUUUAGCUGUUUUUUGGCUUUUUUCCCUGCAUUUUGUACAUUGCCUUGGGAUGUGUGUGG